CUUUACUGUAGGCUGAUAUUGGGCUGAGGUACGUUUUGUGUAGGAUAGGUGGGAGGCUGUGAGGCGGUAGCGCCAGCUAUCGCGGAGCCGUCGUUGAAAUACCACCCUGAAUGUGCUUUAGUUCUAACCCCGUCCCGUGAAGCCGGGCGGGGAACAGUCUCAGUUGGGCAGUUUGACUGGGGCGGUCUCCUCCAAAAGAGUAACGGAGGAGUGCAAAGGUACCCUCAGCCUGGUUGGCAAUCAGGCGUCGAGCGUAAGGGUAGAAGGGUGCUUAACUGCGAGACUCAUCAGUCGAGCAGGUGCGAAAGCAGGUCCUAGUGAUCCGGUGAUUCCGUAUGGAAGGGUCAUCGCUCAUCAGAUAAAAGGUA
rnacentral:rRNA from 1 species